GGCUGGGGAUAUAGCUCAGAGGUAGAGCUCUUGCCUUGCAUACAUGAGGCCCUGGAUUCAAUUUCCAAACCAGGUUU
rnacentral:tRNA from 1 species